rnacentral:lncRNA from 1 species
UGUUUGCUUUGAACAUUAUAGGAUGGGAUGAAACACCCCUAGUGUAUGUAUUUGAUUUAAAAUGACAUAUACUUAUACAUAUUACUUAGCUACUCAAUGCAUUUGUUUAACAUAGUAGCCUUCUCAAGAUGACUAUGUAUACAACACCAAAUCAACACAAGUAGAAUAAUUUAAACUUAUUUUAUACAUCAUUUUAAAAAUUAAAUAUAUGUCUUAAACACUAAAACAAGGAAAUAUGCAAUUUUUUUAUGAAUAAUUAUAAUGACCUAAAUUAUAAUGUAUCGAUAUUGAGUUUUUUAAAAUCUGAAAUUCUAAAAUAUGACGCAUUGAUAUCAUAAUAUGUUGUUUAAAAAAAUAUACAAUGAAAAAAAGAAAUAAAGAAAAUGACAGUUUUUAUGGACAAAUAUGUGUUAAAUUUAUGGAAAAAAAAACAAAUUGUGAAAAUAACUUAGAGCUAAUUUUGCUAGAAACAUAUAACCUAUUAGAUGGAUACAUGGGAAAAGAGCUAUUUUGCUUUGAACAUUAUAGGAUGGGAUGAAACACUCCUAAUGUAUGUAUUUGAUUUAAAAUGACAUAUACUUAUACAUAUUACUUAGCUACUCAAUGCAUUUGUUUAACAUAGUAGCCUUCUCAAGGUGACUAUGUAUACUACACCAAAUAACACACAAGUAGAAUAAUUUAUACUUAUUUUAUACAUCAUUUUCAAAAUUAAAUAUAUGUGUUAAACACUAAAACAAGAAACUAUGCAAUUUUUUAUGAAUAAUUAUAUUGACCUAAAUUAUAAUGUAUCGAUAUUUGAGUUUUUUAAAAUCUGAAAUUCUAAAAUAUAACGCAUUAAUAUCAUAAUAUGUUGUUUAAAAAAAACUUACAAUGAAAAAAAGAAAUAAAGAAAAUGACAGUUUUUAUGGACAAAUAUGUGUUAAAUUUAUGGAAAAAAAAACAAAUUGUGAAAAUAACUUAGAGCUAAUUUUGCUAGAAACAUAUAACCUAUUAGAUGGAUACAUGGGAAAAGAGCUAUUUUGCUUUGAACAUUAUAGGAUGGGAUGAAACACUCCUAAUGUAUGUAUUUGAUUUAAAAUGACAUAUACUUAUACAUAUUACUUAGCUACUCAAUGCAUUUGUUUAACAUAGUAGCCUUCUCAAGGUGACUAUGUAUACUACACCAAAUAACACACAAGUAGAAUAAUUUAUACUUAUUUUAUACAUCAUUUUCAAAAUUAAAUAUAUGUGUUAAACACUAAAACAAGAAACUAUGCAAUUUUUUAUGAAUAAUUAUAUUGACCUAAAUUAUAAUGUAUCGAUAUUUGAGUUUUUUAAAAUCUGAAAUUCUAAAAUAUAACGCAUUAAUAUCAUAAUAUGUUGUUUAAAAAAAACUUACAAUGAAAAAAAGAAAUAAAGAAAAUGACAGUUUUUAUGGACAAAUAUGUGUUAAAUUUAUGGAAAAAAAAACAAAUUGUGAAAAUAACUUAGAGCUAAUUUUGCUAGAAACAUAUAACCUAUUAGAUGGAUACAUGGGAAAAGAGCUAUUUUGCUUUGAACAUUAUAGGAUGGGAUGAAACACUCGUAAUGUAUGUAUUUGAUUUAAAAUGACAUAUACUUAUACAUAUUACUUAGCUACUCAAUGCAUUUGUUUAACAUAGUAGCCUUCUCAAGGUGACUAUGUAUACUACACCAAAUAACACACAAGUAGAAUAAUUUAUACUUAUUUUAUACAUCAUUUUCAAAAUUAAAUAUAUGUGUUAAACACUAAAACAAGAAACUAUGCAAUUUUUUAUGAAUAAUUAUAUUGACCUAAAUUAUAAUGUAUCGAUAUUUGAGUUUUUUAAAAUCUGAAAUUCUAAAAUAUAACGCAUUAAUAUCAUAAUAUGUUGUUUAAAAAAAACUUACAAUGAAAAAAAGAAAUAAAGAAAAUGACAGUUUUUAUGGACAAAUAUGUGUUAAAUUUAUGGAAAAAAAAACAAAUUGUGAAAAUAACUUAGAGCUAAUUUUGCUAGAAACAUAUAACCUAUUAGAUGGAUACAUGGGAAAAGAGCUAUUUUGCUUUGAACAUUAUAGGAUGGGAUGAAACACUCGUAAUGUAUGUAUUUGAUUUAAAAUGACAUAUACUUAUACAUAUUACUUAGCUACUCAAUGCAUUUGUUUAACAUAGUAGCCUUCUCAAGGUGACUAUGUAUACUACACCAAAUAACACACAAGUAGAAUAAUUUAUACUUAUUUUAUACAUCAUUUUCAAAAUUAAAUAUAUGUGUUAAACACUAAAACAAGAAACUAUGCAAUUUUUUAUGAAUAAUUAUAUUGACCUAAAUUAUAAUGUAUCGAUAUUUGAGUUUUUUAAAAUCUGAAAUUCUAAAAUAUAACGCAUUAAUAUCAUAAUAUGUUGUUUAAAAAAAACUUACAAUGAAAAAUAGAAAUAAAGAAAAUGACAGUUUUUAUGGACAAAUAUAUGUUAAAUUUAUGGAAAAAAAACAAAUUUUGAAAAUAACGUAGAGCUACUUUUGCUAGAAACGUAUAACCUAUUAGGUGGAUACAUGGGAAAAGAGCUAUGUUCGCUUUGAACAUUAUAGGAUGGGUUGAAACACUCCAAAUGGAUGUAUUUAAUUUAAAAUGACAUAUACUUAUACAUAUUAGUUAGCUACUUAAUGCAUUUGUUUAACAUAGUAGCCUUCUCAAGAUGACUAUGUAUACAACACCAAAUCAACACAAGUAGAAUAAUUUAUACUUCUUUUAUACAUCAUUUAAAAAAUUAAAUAUAUGUCUUAAACACUAAAACUUGGAAAUAUGCAAUUUUUUUAUGAAUAAUUUUAAUGACCUAAAUUAUAAUGUAUCGAUAUUGAGUUUUUUAAAAUCUGAAAUUCUAAAAUAUGACGCAUUGAUAUCAUAAUAUGUUGUUUAAAAAAAUAUACAAUGAAAAAA